rnacentral:rRNA from 1 species
UACGGAGGGCGCAAGCGUUAUCCGGAAUUACUGGGCGUAAAGAGCGCGCAGGCGGUCGUUCAAGUCGCGUGUGAAAGCCCCCGGCUCAACUGGGGAGGGUCCCGCGAUACUGAUCGACUCGAAGGCAGUAGAGGGAAGUGGAAUUCCCGGUGUAGUGGUGAAAUGCGUAGAUAUCGGGAGGAACACCAGUGGCGAAGGCGACUUCCUGGCCUGUUAUUGACGCUGAGGCGCGAAAGCUAGGGGAGCAAACGGA